rnacentral:pre_miRNA from 1 species
UGUAGGUAUUCAAGAGGAGGAAAAGGAGGAACGGGAGAAUCCCAGUCCUUUUCUUUCGUUCCUCCUUUCCCUCCUCUUGAACAGGUUUGCA